GGGGCCAUAGCUCAGCUGGGAGAGCGCCUGCUUUGCAAGCAGGAGGUCGUCGGUUCGAUCCCGAUCAGCUCCACCA
rnacentral:tRNA from 1 species